GGGUUGUGAGGUUAAGCGACUAAGCGUACACGGUGGAUGCCCUGGCAGUCAGAGGCGAUGAAGGACGUGCUAAUCUGCGAAAAGCGUCGGUAAGGUGAUAUGAACCGUUAUAGCCGGCGAUGUCCGAAUGGGGAAACCCAGUGCAAUUCGUUGCACUAUCGUUAACUGAAUACAUAGGUUAACGAGGCGAACCGGGGGAACUGAAACAUCUAAGUACCCCGAGGAAAAGAAAUCAACCGAGAUUCCCCCAGUAGCGGCGAGCGAACGGGGAGCAGCCCAGAGUCUGAAUCAGCUUGUGUGUUAGUGGAACGGUCUGGAAAGUCCGACGGUACAGGGUGAUAGUCCCGUACACCAAAAUGCACAGGCUGUGAACUCGAAGAGUAGGGCGGGACACGUGGUAUCCUGUCUGAAUAUGGGGGGACCAUCCUCCAAGGCUAAAUACUCCUGACUGACCGAUAGUGAACCAGUACCGUGAGGGAAAGGCGAAAAGAACCCCGGCGAGGGGAGUGAAAAAGAACCUGAAACCGUGUACGUACAAGCAGUGGGAGCACCUUCGGGUGUGACUGCGUACCUUUUGUAUAAUGGGUCAGCGACUUAUAUUCUGUAGCAAGGUUAACCGUAUAGGGGAGCCGCAGGGAAACCGAGUCUUAACUGGGCGUUAAGUUGCAGGGUAUAGACCCGAAACCCGGUGAUCUAGCCAUGGGCAGGUUGAAGGUUGGGUAACACUAACUGGAGGACCGAACCGACUAAUGUUGAAAAAUUAGCGGAUGACUUGUGGCUGGGGGUGAAAGGCCAAUCAAACCGGGAGAUAGCUGGUUCUCCCCGAAAGCUAUUUAGGUAGCGCCUCGUGAAUUCAUCUUCGGGGGUAGAGCACUGUUUCGGCUAGGGGGUCAUCCCGACUUACCAACCCGAUGCAAACUACGAAUACCGAAGAAUGUUAUCACGGGAGACACACGGCGGGUGCUAACGUCCGUCGUGAAGAGGGAAACAACCCAGACCGCCAGCUAAGGUCCCAAAGUCAUGGUUAAGUGGGAAACGAUGUGGGAAGGCACAGACAGCCAGGAUGUUGGCUUAGAAGCAGCCAUCAUUUAAAGAAAGCGUAAUAGCUCACUGGUCGAGUCGGCCUGCGCGGAAGAUGUAACGGGGCUAAACCAUGCACCGAAGCUGCGGCAGCGACACUAUGUGUUGUUGGGUAGGGGAGCGUUCUGUAAGCCUGCGAAGGUGUGCUGUGAGGCAUGCUGGAGGUAUCAGAAGUGCGAAUGCUGACAUAAGUAACGAUAAAGCGGGUGAAAAGCCCGCUCGCCGGAAGACCAAGGGUUCCUGUCCAACGUUAAUCGGGGCAGGGUGAGUCGACCCCUAAGGCGAGGCCGAAAGGCGUAGUCGAUGGGAAACAGGUUAAUAUUCCUGUACUUGGUGUUACUGCGAAGGGGGGACGGAGAAGGCUAUGUUAGCCGGGCGACGGUUGUCCCGGUUUAAGCAUGUAGGCUGGUUGUCCAGGCAAAUCCGGAUAAUCAAGGCUGAGGUGUGAUGACGAGGCACUACGGUGCUGAAGUAACAAAUGCCCUGCUUCCAGGAAAAGCCUCUAAGCAUCAGGUAACAUCAAAUCGUACCCCAAACCGACACAGGUGGUCAGGUAGAGAAUACCAAGGCGCUUGAGAGAACUCGGGUGAAGGAACUAGGCAAAAUGGUGCCGUAACUUCGGGAGAAGGCACGCUGGUGUGUAGGUGAAGUCCCUGCGGAUGGAGCUGAGACCAGUCGAAGAUACCAGCUGGCUGCAACUGUUUAUUAAAAACACAGCACUGUGCAAACACGAAAGUGGACGUAUACGGUGUGACGCCUGCCCGGUGCCGGAAGGUUAAUUGAUGGGGUUAUCCGUAAGGAGAAGCUCUUGAUCGAAGCCCCGGUAAACGGCGGCCGUAACUAUAACGGUCCUAAGGUAGCGAAAUUCCUUGUCGGGUAAGUUCCGACCUGCACGAAUGGCGUAAUGAUGGCCAGGCUGUCUCCACCCGAGACUCAGUGAAAUUGAACUCGCUGUGAAGAUGCAGUGUACCCGCGGCAAGACGGAAAGACCCCGUGAACCUUUACUAUAGCUUGACACUGAACAUUGAGCCUUGAUGUGUAGGAUAGGUGGGAGGCUUUGAAGCGUGGACGCCAGUCUGCGUGGAGCCAACCUUGAAAUACCACCCUUUAAUGUUUGAUGUUCUAACGUUGGCCCCUUACCGGGGUUGCGGACAGUGUCUGGUGGGUAGUUUGACUGGGGCGGUCUCCUCCCAAAGCGUAACGGAGGAGCACGAAGGUUAGCUAAUCCUGGUCGGACAUCAGGAGGUUAGUGCAAUGGCAUAAGCUAGCUUGACUGCGAGCGUGACGGCGCGAGCAGGUGCGAAAGCAGGUCAUAGUGAUCCGGUGGUUCUGAAUGGAAGGGCCAUCGCUCAACGGAUAAAAGGUACUCCGGGGAUAACAGGCUGAUACCGCCCAAGAGUUCAUAUCGACGGCGGUGUUUGGCACCUCGAUGUCGGCUCAUCACAUCCUGGGGCUGAAGUAGGUCCCAAGGGUAUGGCUGUUCGCCAUUUAAAGUGGUACGCGAGCUGGGUUUAGAACGUCGUGAGACAGUUCGGUCCCUAUCUGCCGUGGGCGCUGGAGAAUUGAGGGGGGCUGCUCCUAGUACGAGAGGACCGGAGUGGACGCAUCACUGGUGUUCGGGUUGUCAUGCCAAUGGCACUGCCCGGUAGCUAAAUGCGGAAGAGAUAAGUGCUGAAAGCAUCUAAGCACGAAACUUGCCCCGAGAUGAGUUCUCCCUGAGACUUUAAGUCUCCUGAAGGAACGUUGAAGACGACGACGUUGAUAGGCCGGGUGUGUAAGCGCAGCGAUGCGUUGAGCUAACCGGUACUAAUGAACCGUGAGGCUUAACCUUACAACGCCGAAG
rnacentral:rRNA from 1 species